GACAGAGGGGGCAAGCGUUGCUCGGAAUUACUGGGCGUAAAGGGCGCGUAGGCGGGAUGGCAAGUCGGUCGUGAAAUCCCUCGGCUUAACCGGGGAACUGCGUCUGAUACUGGAUGGCUUGGAUUUGGGAGAGGGAUGCGGAAUUCCAGGUGUAGCGGUGAAAUGCGUAGAUAUCUGGAGGAACACCGGUGGCGAAGGCGGCAUCCUGGACCAACAUUGACGCUGAGGAGCGAAAGCCAGGGGAGCAAACGGG
rnacentral:rRNA from 1 species